UACGUAGGGAGCAAGCGUUGUCCGGAAUCAUUUGGGCGUAAAGCGCGCGUAGGCGGCCCCGUAAGUCCGCUGUGAAAGUCAAAGGCUCAACCUUUGAAAGCCGGGUGGAUACUGUGGGGCUAGAGUCCGGAAGAGGCGAGUGGAAUUCCUGGUGUAGCGGUGGAAUGCGCAGAUAUCAGGAGGAACACCAAUAGCGAAGGCAGCUCGCUGGGACGGUACUGACGCUAAGGCGCGAAAGCGUGGGGAGCGAACAGG
rnacentral:rRNA from 1 species